rnacentral:tRNA from 6 species
GCGACACUAGCUCAGUUGGUAGAGCGCAACCUUGCCAAGGUUGAGGUCACGAGUUCGAACCUCG